rnacentral:rRNA from 1 species
UACAGAGGUCUCAAGCGUUGUUCGGAUUCAUUGGGCGUAAAGGGUGUGUAGGUGGCGCCGUAAGUCGGGUGUGAAAUUUCGGAGCUUAACUCCGAAACUGCAUUCGAUACUGCGGUGCUUGAGGACUGGAGAGGAGACUGGAAUUCAUGGUGUAGCAGUGAAAUGCGUAGAGAUGUGGAGGAACACCAAUGGCGAAGGCAGCCUUCUGGGCCAACACUGACGCUCAUGCACGAAAGCGUGGGGAGCAAACAGG